AGCAAGAAAAUGUUCUGUUCUGUGUCUCUGUUCCAUCCCUGCUGCCCUGGGAGCUGUGUCCUGCUGGAUGUCUUUGCCCAGUGCUUGUUUGUCAGCACACGUUGGCUGGCUGCUGCUCCCAGUGGCAGACCUGCUGGUGGGGAAAGAGCUGAAGAUUUUGGGGUCUCACAGCCUGGCAGAGGUCAGAGUAGAGCACUUGAGCAUUAGCUGCAAGUUCUUCUAGUGAGUCUGUCUUCCUCGAAGGAUGCUGAACGGAAGGAAUUGUGAUUACUCAUGCUGUGGUUAAGCUCAGGAACCUGAGUUUGGACUGAGUCUUGUUUGUUUUGGUAGUGAACAAGACAUGAUGAAUGGAUAAGCAGCUUCCACAGAGCCCACAGUCUGUAUAAAUUAAAGUUGUGAUCUCUGCUCCACAGAGGUCGAAUAUGUAA